GAUGAACGCUGGCGGCGUGCCUAAUACAUGCAAGUCGAGCGAACAGACGAGGAGCUUGCUCCUCUGACGUUAGCGGCGGACGGGUGAGUAACACGUGGAUAACCUACCUAUAAGACUGGGAUAACUUCGGGAAACCGGAGCUAAUACCGGAUAAUAUAUUGAACCGCAUGGUUCAAUAGUGAAAGACGGUUUUGCUGUCACUUAUAGAUGGAUCCGCGCCGCAUUAGCUAGUUGGUAAGGUAACGGCUUACCAAGGCGACGAUGCGUAGCCGACCUGAGAGGGUGAUCGGCCACACUGGAACUGAGACACGGUCCAGACUCCUACGGGAGGCAGCAGUAGGGAAUCUUCCGCAAUGGGCGAAAGCUUGACGGAGCAACGCCGCGUGAGUGAUGAAGGUCUUCGGAUCGUAAAACUCCGUUAUUAGGGAAGAACAAAUGUGUAAGUAACUAUGCACGUCUUGACGGUACCUAAUCAGAAAGCCACGGCUAACUACGU
rnacentral:rRNA from 1 species